UUGAGGAAUAGCUCAGUCUGUAGAGCAUGAGACCCUUCAUCUCAGGGUUGUGGGUUCCAGCCCCACAUUGGGCAAAA